rnacentral:lncRNA from 1 species
UCUUGAGAUAUUAAGAAAAUAGUGCUUGGGUGCUUGUAAAUUAGGGUUUAUAGUAUCUGCUAGGAUUUCUUAGAUGUCAAAAGAUUGGGAGUGAAUUUGCAAUUGGUUUUAUUUGUAAUAAAAUUUAAGAGUAAAUUCUACCAUUCAAAUAAAUUUGAAACAAACUGAACAAUUAGAUUAAGAGAUAUGAAUUUCUAAAGUUUGAGAUAAGAAAACCCUUUGCAGAAAAAAUAUGUUUUGAAGGGAUUUUAUUAUAUUUUGAGUUUCAUGCAAAAUAAAGGAGUUUUAGAAGCUAAGUCAAGAUUAAUAUAAAGGCAUAAGCUACACUCUCUAUAGCUAGAUAUCCAGUGUAUUUUUAAAUAGCAAAUCAUGCUAUACAACACUGUGAUAUUAUCUUCCUUUCUAGAGAUGAGUUCUACAAAGAGCAAUCAUCAUCUUUCAUGGAUCUUUACAAUUCUUUAACUUACUUUUGAUGGAUGUCAUUGAUAAAAGGCCUCAACCUUCUUUAUUGCAUCUGUAAGAUUUUUUGUUGGCUCUC